AAUUUUGCUUGCAUGUAUGCGAAUGCACCACAUGUGUGCCUGGUGCCCAGGGAGGCCAGUGUGAACGUGGACAGAACCCAGAGAUACCACCGGGUCCUGGGCUGGGGCCGGCUCACCUGAGAUGACCUCCAGGAGCAGCAUGAGCUUCAGGCCAUCUCGGAAGUCCUCUUCGAUGUUCUCGAUCUGUGUCCCCGCUUUGCGCAGGUUGCAAGGUCCCCGCAGAAAGAUCAUCUCCUUAGCAGUGCCCCCAGGAUUCAGCAAGGAAGGAGGAGAAGCUGGCAGCCAAAGGGACACCCACUGCAGAAACUCCUGGCCCCAACCAGGGUGGGCAGUGCUACACGCAGAGGCCUAAUGGACCAACCUCAUU
rnacentral:lncRNA from 1 species